UACGUAGGUCCCGAGCGUUGUCCGGAUUUAUUGGGCGUAAAGCGAGCGCAGGUGGUUUAUUAAGUCUGGUGUAAAAGGCAGUGGCUCAACCAUUGUAUGCAUUGGAAACUGGUAGACUUGAGUGCAGGAGAGGAGAGUGGAAUUCCAUGUGUAGCGGUGAAAUGCGUAGAUAUAUGGAGGAACACCGGUGGCGAAAGCGGCUCUCUGGCCUGUAACUGACACUGAGGGUCGAAAGCGUGGGGAGCAAACAGG
rnacentral:rRNA from 1 species